UGCCUAUGACGCUACCUCCCACCCACCCAGGAUUAUGGCACAGCCCUGCGGGGACUGUGCGAAGACGCCCUGGAAGGCCUGCUCUUCCUGCUGCUCUUCUCCCUCCUGUCCGCGGGGGCCCUGGCCACCGCCCUCUGCAGCCUGCCACGAGCCUGGGCCCUGUUCCCGCCCAGUGAUGACUAUGAUGACACGGACGAUGAUGACCCUUUCAACCCUCAGGAAUCCAAGCGCUUCGUGCAGUGGCAGUCGUCUAUCUGAGCCCCUCUUCCAUGCCAGACUGGAGGCUGCCCCCCCUCUCCGUUCCCUCCCUGGAUGCCAGAGAAGACCCCACUAACCUAGCCUGAGUGGGCUCCCACCACUAACACCAUGGACACCCCACACAAGACUGCCUCCCUGCCCUGCCCCUCUACAUGUCCUUAGCCCUGGGAGAAGGCUAAGGGGGCAGGCCAGGGCCAGGGGCUGGCCAGGCAGGGGGCCCCUCCUCCCUGGUCGCCAGGUUCAUCCUUGAAGGGACAUGAGUUCCCCCACACCCACCAUGCCCCGGUGGGCUUAGGGCCCUUGAUCUCAACUUGUGGCACUAACUUGGGAAUGGGUUGGUUUGAAAUAAAAGGGAAGACUUUAUUUUACAA